CAUAGAGAGCUUCUAGGAUUAAUUCUUUUAAUCUUAUUGGUUGAAUUUUUGAUAAUUUCUUUUUCUUUUAUUUUUUAUCAUCGACCAAACAUUACCAAAAACGGAAUCCAUAUAAUUAAUACGGUCUUAUUAAUACAGUAUAUUUGAAGAGGCAAAAUAUAGUAUAUUAAUAAUGACAUACUUUAUGGACAAGACAUUCAUAUUAUAGUUUUGGAAAGCUUGCUCAAACGAAUCAAUGAAACUUAAAGGCACCACUCAAAUAAGACUAAUAAACCAUAAUAUUAAUACAUACUGAAAACGUAUCAACUUAAAUAUGGGAAGAUAAUAUCCGUUUUCGAUUUUAACCUUUGGUUGAAGUACUUUAUAAUGGUUUACUGUGUAACCUAAUUUUCUUAAAAGCAAAAGCAACCUAAUUGUUUGAGCACACAUCGAUGGCUACCUUACAUGCUCUGUUUCUCUUCUUCAGUUAAACAUUGUGUGUUUUAAUGAUUUCAAGACUUGCUUAAUUUUAUCUUCAAGAAUAUCAUAAUAUUUUGUGUUUCUUUUUUUUUACAAAUCUCGUAGCUUAUGGUCAAUGAAGGACUCAUUCCUUCUCCUGAAGAUGAGAAUAAACGAAGAACCAUUAUUCUUAAGCUACAAAGAUAGUGGUGAGAUGGUUUAAGACUGUUGCUUGGAAACGACGUCUUCCUCAUCAUCAUAUCAACGCAACCAACGCCACCAUAAUCUAUUACGGAUCCUAUGGUCUUGGAGCAAAAAGGCUACCACGUCUACAGACAGCAGAAAACCCAGCAGGAAUGGUUCUCCCAAACGAGCCAGCAGCUACUGCAGUGAGUUCAUCAUGUUGUGCUUAAGAGAGCUCUCUCUCUCUCUCUCUCUUGGUUAGUCACUGUAAAAAGAAACAUCCAGUCUCUUUAUCUGUUUUCUUCUUGUCUUAACGUUGUCCCUUUGCUUUGCAUUGUAUAUCAAGAUGUUUCCGUUCUGUGGAAAUCUAAAGAUAAUUGUAUUUGAAGAGGUUUGAUUUGUAAUUAGAUAUCACAACUUACUAUGCGUGUGAUCGCUUCUCUAUA